CACGUACACUCCUCUGGCAGAGUGUGAACUGGGAGAACCGCUGUGGAGAACAGACCCCAGAGAUCCCCAAGGGACUUCUCAGCACUGAGAACGUGCGGAACGCUCUGCAAACACCAGAGAUACGGGACAAAGGAUGGGGGUGAAGGCUCAGGGCUGUUUCCCGUGGUACGGAAGGAGGAAAGAGCGGAAAAGAAGCAAAACCAGUCAGGAAGAAGCCCCUGCGUCCCCCACCCCUCAGGAGGAGAAGCCCAGACUCCGCUCCACCAAUUCUGUGGGCAGUGAUACGGACGGCCAGCAGACCCGGGCCUACUUCAGCGGCAAAGCCAGGGUGUCCUUCCGCCACGAGAUGGACUCCACCAUGUUUGUGAACGACUCCACCUUCUGAACCCUCUCCGGGGGCCACUUAUGGGAUCUGGGGGUCUUCUUCUUGAGCCAAAGUCCUGAAGGACUACUCCACUUAGUGACUGCAAUCUCAUCAUCCUCACUCAGAUAACAUGGAGGUUCUGUCCAGGACGCUCACAGGUGCAGCACUCAGCAUCCACCACCAGGUGACGC